AGACUGGGCGCCGACAGCAUCCUCCGGGGGUAGGCGCCCACAGUCAUUCUUUCCAUCGCUGCGGACACGGGAGUCAGAAGUGAAACAGUCCUGUCCUCGUGGGGCUUACGUUCCAGGCGCAAGAGCCACAGGUAGUCGAAUUGGGAAACCGCCUCGGAUGUCACAUAAGCGCCCAGGGAGGACAGGGCAGGACAGGGCCUCCCUGGGGAGGUGACUUGAGUCAAGACUCAAAAGAGGGAAGCGAGGGAACAAGCCAUGCGAGGAACUAACGAAGGAACAUUCCAGAAAGAUUUCACAUCCCAAGCCUAAGGUCCAGGGGCAGCAGGCAUUGAGGCGGAUGUGGCUGGAGUGGAGAGAAAGAGGAAUUAAAAGGAUGGAGUAAUGACAAUAAUGGCUCACAUUUUUUAGCAAGAGGUGGGUUCACUACCUAUCUGUCGUUAUCUGGGGGGAAAUUAGGCUCUGGGAGGUCAAAUAACUUGCCCAAGGUCACACAGCUUGUAAGUGGCCAGACCAGCAUUGGAACCCAAGGGGACGGAUGUCUGAAACACACCCAGGAGUCCCAAGGUGGGAUGACCUUGACCAAGACAGGCCCUUUACCCCUUGCCUCAGUUUCAUCCCAAAGAGCUGCCCAAACACAGCUUAAAAUCAGGGCACAGAGCAAGGGUGUAGCUGAGUGUGCGUAACAUCUGUUCUCCUGGGAGAUGCUUUUGUUGUCUGGGAAGCACUUGUCACCUCUCCAGGCUCUGGAGCAGGUACAAGUGGCUUCGGGGAGAAAGGGUGGGAGCCGGGAAGAGGCUGCUUCUGGUGGCAGGAGGAGAGAGGGAGUGGGUGAGGGGCCCCGGGCUGGCUGAGUGCUCUGGAGCAUGACAAAGGCAGUGUCAGCCAGGCAGCUGUGUCCGCCACUAGCAACCGCGCAGGCAGCAUCCCCCGCCAUCCCUCUGAGCCUGGAGAGAUUGAAACACACACAGUCAGCGUGCCUGCUGCCCAGGUGAGGUGCAGAAGGCCUGGGGGUUGCCAGUCUGGGCUCUGCCGCGAGAAAGUGGCUUUUCUGCAGCCGGAAGCGGGGAGGAAGUGUUUUCACCCUUCUACAAAGCUCUGUCUCUGCCUCUGGAUCCACGGUGCUGCAGGCCUGAGGGCUCUCAUGGGUACGGGCCUGGUGAGUAAUCUAGAAUUUGCCCCUUCCCCAGCCUGGUGCAGCCUCUAGUCUCGGCCUUCACGCUCUGCUGUAAAAUGAGGCUGGGUCAGGAGUGGGACCCAUCCUCCGUGUUUGAGGAGCUGGGCUAUUACAUGAGCCCCUACCUGAGGUCGCCAGCGAGUCAGAGGUCCUGGUGGGACCAGACCAAAAUGGAACCUACUAUCGGGCCCAUUUUGAGAGGGAGACAGAGAGAAGUUAAAAGUACAUGCACACACAGCUCUAAAGUAGCAGAGAUGGCAUUCAAGUCCAAAGCCUUUGACUCCAGGACGGGCACAGUGGCUCACACUUGUAAUUUCAGCACUUUGGGAGGCCGAGGUGGGAGGAUCUCCUAAGCCCAGGAGUUCAAGACCAGCAUGGGCAACAUGGUAAGACCCUAUCUCUAUUAGCGGGGCGUGAUGGCACAUGGCUGUAGUCCCAGCUACUCUGGAGGCUGAAGCAAGAGAAUCGCUUGAACUUGGAAGGCAGAUGUUGCAGUGAGCUGACAGAGCAAGAUUCCAUCUCAAAACGAACAAUCAAACACUAGUCUUGCCCGGCGAGGUGGCUCAGGCCUGUAAUGACCAGCCUGGCCAACAUGGUGAAACCCCUUCUCUACUAAAAAUACAAAAAUUUGCUGGGCAUGAUGGCAGGCGCCUGUAAUUCCAGCUACUUGGGAGGCUGAGGCAGGAGAAUCCCUUGAACCUGGUAGGUAGAAGUUGCAGUGAGCCGAGA
rnacentral:lncRNA from 1 species